rnacentral:rRNA from 1 species
UGAAACCGUUCAGAGGUAAACGGAUGGGGCCGGAAGGCAGCCCGUGGAAUUCAACCGUCCGCGCGUCGGUCGGCCGUUUGGGGACGUCGAUCGCCGAUGGGCGGCGCGGCCUCCGGUCGGGGCGCGCUCGGACGGCGCACUUUCCGCGGGAAGUUGGCGAGGACGGGUUCGCGGGUGUCCUCGAGCCGGCGCGAUCGGACGGCCGGUCCCACGUCGCCGACGAGGCGGCUGGGGUCGGUGGUGAGGCGCGUCGGCGGGCAGCACUCGUGGAUCCGGUGUUGAACCGGUCUCAGCGGUGGUUCGGGACGCUCACCCUCGCGGCGGGCUCGCUCGCGUGGACUGCUCGUGCAGUGCGCGCGGCGGCCUUCGCCGUCUGCAGCGGUGGGCCAUCCAGUGCCGUCCGCUCGGUCGCUCGUCCACUGGCCGGCAUCCCAUCCGACCCGUCUUGAAACACGGACCGAGGAGUCUAGCAUGUGCGCGAGUCGCCGGGUGGCAAACCCCGGGGCGCAGUGAAAGCGAAGGCGGCCGGUCUCGACCGCCGAGGUGGGAUCCCGUGUCGGCCGUUCGUCGGCGGCGGGCGCACCACCGGCCCGUCUCGUUCGCCGUCGCCGUCCCUCGCGGCCGUGCGGCGGGGAGAGGCGGAGCAGGAGCGUACACGUUGGGACCCGAAA